rnacentral:rRNA from 1 species
UACGUAGGGGGCUAGCGUUGUCCGGAAUCAUUGGGCGUAAAGCGCGCGUAGGCGGCCCGGUAAGUCCGCUGUGAAAGUCCAGGGCUCAACCCUGGGAUGCCGGUGGAUACUGUCGGGCUCGAGUCCGGAAGAGGAGUGUGGAAUUCCUGGUGUAGCGGUGAAAUGCGCAGAUAUCAGGAGGAACACCAAUGGCGAAGGCAGCACUCUGGGACGUGACUGACGCUGAGACGCGAAAGCGUGGGGAGCGAACAGG